GACGAACGCUGGCGGCGUGCCUAAUACAUGCAAGUCGAACGCUUUGAUUUUCACCGGAGCUUGCUCCACCGAAAAUCAAAGAGUGGCGGACGGGUGAGUAACACGUGGGCAACCUGCCCAACAGAGGGGGAUAACACUUGGAAACAGGUGCUAAUACCGCAUAAUUUGUUUUUCCGCAUGGAAGAGUAAUAAAAGACGCUUCGGUGUCACUGUUGGAUGGGCCCGCGCUGCAUUAGUUAGUUGGUGGGGUAACGGCCUACCAAGACCAUGAUGCAUAGCCGACCUGAGAGGGUGAUCGGCCACACUGGGACUGAGACACGGCCCAGACUCCUACGGGAGGCAGCAGUAGGGAAUCUUCGGCAAUGGACGAAAGUCUGACCGAGCAACGCCGCGUGAGUGAAGAAGGUUUUCGGAUCGUAAAACUCUGUUGUUAGAGAAGAACAAGUGAGAGAGUUACUGUUCUCACCUUGACGGUAUCUAACCAGAAAGCCACGGCUAACUACGUGCCAGCAGCCGCGGUAAUACGUAGGUGGCAAGCGUUGUCCGGAUUUAUUGGGCGUAAAGCGAGCGCAGGCGGUUUCUUAAGUCUGAUGUGAAAGCCCUCGGCUCAACCGAGGAAGGUCAUUGGAAACUGGGGAACUUGAGUGCAGAAGAGGAGAGUGGAAUUCCAUGUGUAGCGGUGAAAUGCGUAGAUAUAUGGAGGAACACCAGUGGCGAAGGCGACUCUCUGGUCUGUAACUGACGCUGAGGCUCGAAAGCGUGGGGAGCAAACAGG
rnacentral:rRNA from 1 species